UACGUAGGGGGCAAGCGUUAUCCGGAUUCACUGGGUGUAAAGGGAGCGUAGACGGCCAUGCAAGCCUGGAGUGAAAGCCCGGGGCCCAACCCCGGGACUGCUCUGGGAACUGUGCGGCUGGAGUGCGGGAGGGGCAGGCGGAAUUCCUGGUGUAGCGGUGAAAUGCGUGGAUAUCAGGAGGAACACCGGCGGCGAAGGCGGCCUGCUGGACCGCGACUGACGUUGAGGCUCGAAAGCGUGGGGAGCAAGCAGG
rnacentral:rRNA from 1 species